CCCCCGCUCAGCCAUCCCCGCUGCGGGCGGCUCCUGGCCCGGCUGUACCGGGGAUGCCCCGGAGCGCAGCCCCGCUCCCGGAGCCGGGGGAGCCGGCUGGUGAGGGGCUGGGGGCUGGCUGCGCCCCCCCGGCGCUCAGCGGCUCAGUGUCCUCGGGAGAGCACGGUGGCCUUGCCGAGGGAUUCGCAGCCGGCCUCCCCCUGCGGUCUGCUGAGGCCCAAGCGUCUUGCUUUUCAGCUUUCAUCUCUCUUCUUCCUGUGUCAGUGGUUACUCAUCCUUAUUAACCUGCAGAUUCCCGAGGGAUUUCCCAGUGUAGGAACUGAAGGCUGCGAACUGCGGGGUUCCUUUUCUUUAGUUAAGUAGGUGCUUGGGAAGCGCUCUUGUCCGUAGUACCCUGGUCGCCGGCGAUCCUCAGGCGGCAGGAUGCACACCGCUGCUCUGGGGGAGCGCACGGAGCCGUGGCACUGCGGGAGGAGGAACCACAAGGUGGCAAUCUCUCUCCGUGCUUCUACUGGCAAAAUAACCCUGGGACGAAAAGUCUCGGGCAGUAACUCGGUAAGGCUGCAGAGGCGGUUGGUCACGUCUUGUAUUUUCCAUGUGCGCUGUCAGGUUUUCUCUUCCGUACGUUUCUCCCUUUAGGAUGAAGCUCUCAGGCUCGACGAAGUGGCUCUGGAGGCUGCUCUUUGGUAACUGCUCCAUCCUUUGCCCCCAAGCGGGCAGCAGAUGCAACUUGUUAGAUCGCUAACUACCAAGACUGCUUGUGUGUGUGUUGGCAGAGCUACCGUGUGUGUUGGCGAGGUAGUUUCCUCCUUCACUGGCGGCACUGUCUGUGGCAGCUGCUUCUGAGUAUUGCUAACCUCACAUUACACUGCUGCACGGUAUAGUCGUGCCAGGAUCCUGCUUCAUGCAAUGAGAUGCCUCUGCGGGAGCAAAAUAACCCUGGAGCUUGGACCAGGCAGUGACCUGCAGGCUGGGUUUUACAUACAGUCUGGAGCAGCCUAGGAGGCAAGGGGACUGCGAAACUUUUGUGGCAAGAGCUCAACUCUGUGCAAAGAUGUGGAGGAGAAAGAAUGCUCGGUUCGGGGCGAAGCUGCCCUGGUCCUGCAGUCUCAAACACACCAUCUGUUGCGAUGAGCUGCAUCUAGCUCAGGACAUAGUUGUGUUCCUGCCAGAUGUUAGCUUACAUGUGCUCCAUGUAAAAGUAAACUGGUGCGAAAGCUGUGGUCUGAUGUGCUUUCAGUAGGAUUUGACCUGCACAAGUGACGACGUGCUAGCCAGCCUCUCGCCGAGAGGAUGCACUCCAGAAGUUGCAGGUGUGUGGCUGGAGCAUGUUCAAUGAUUCAAGAUAGGAAAUAUCUUCCAAAGCUCAAAAUAAGACAAAACAAACUGAGCUUUAGCACAUGCUCAAUUGAUUGAGUCCUUGGCAAAGUAUGACAUAAAUUUCCAAGGCUCUCACUGAGGCCUGUCCUGGCUGCAUCCUGCCUCUUGAGUCCUUCGGUGAGCACCAUGUGGCUGCCCUCAUUUUCUUCGAACACUACAGUCUCCUCCUUUUACCUGUUCUCUGUUGCGACAUUGCUGUUCAAUUAGCAAUAAUGACCUUCUCCCUCUGCAGCUUCUGUGCCGCAGCUCUCAAGGUCCACAACCCCUGCCUGUGGGGAUACCCCUGAUCACAGCUGUCCUCCUCCAGCUCUGACAGUGCAGGUCCGGGAGGACGGAGUGAAGCAUGGAUAUGGGGAGUUUGGUAAAGCCCCUUCAGAUCAA
rnacentral:lncRNA from 1 species